UGGCGGCGCGGCUGGGGAUUGGCCGAGCCGGGCGGGGGGGAAGGCGCGCGGGGGUCGGUUGGGCGGGGCGGAGGGCAGCCCGGCGCGUGCGCCCGGAGGCCGUUGCCCCUCGCGCGCCGGCCUCCGCCGCUUCCGCCUUCCCCUGAGGAGAGCCGGCGGGGCCCGUGGGCGGGCUGGCAGCUGGGUCGCGACCGGCCGGGGCUCCUCGGGAGACCGUCGGCUGCUCCCCGCGCCGGGGCAAGCCCUUCCUGGGAGCCCCGGUGUGGGCGGGGGGGGGGGGGGGCUGUCCCUACGGAGCGCCGUGGGAGCUGCUUCCGAGGAGGCCGAGAGGGCCGCUGGAGCGGCCCCUGCCUUCAGCCAGGCCUCCCGGCUCCGGGGGCUUCUGGGCCGGCCGGGUUCGUGCCCCGCUCCCCACUCUGGAGGCGAAGUGGCGUUUGCUCUUAGCGUGGGCCGAGACGACUAAGGCUCUUCCCGCCGCCCCCCCCCCCCCCCCCCCCGCGCCCGGGAAAGGGCCGUGCGCUUACACUGUCGUGGGUAAAGGAUGCGAGGAAGUAAUUGAGCUUUCAGCUGGGAAUUGGUGUGGUUGCGUGAGUAAGGCUUGAAACGCCUCUCUGUCUGGGAUGUCCGGACGUGCCGGCGUGAACUUCCUAGCUGCCUUCCUGACCCGUGGCGAAGUAUCUGCUGGGAAACAACCUUCACAGGGGCUGUCUGCAGGCUGUCGCCACUAGCUUUGUGUGCUGUAGUGACCUUUAGCUCUGGAAAACCAAACCACGGGUGUUUAGAAAGUUCACCGUGGCUUCAAAAUGCAUUCUCAAAAGUUUUGAGGCAGGACAUCUUGAACAACAGCCUCAGGCUGUCAUGAGUCAUAAAUAAUUACAUGAAACAUUGUUUCUGAUGACUGACUUUGUUGGUCAGGCACCAAAAGGAGACAGAUGUUCCUGCUGCUAAAGCGUGAGCCCAAACGAGAAUUACCUGUCAAAUAAGCAUUGGUUUGUAUUAUAAUAAUAUAAAAGCAAGCGUGUUUGUAUUCUUGAUUUAUUUAGUAUUAUUUUAUGCUUUGUAAUAUUUUCUCUUGAAAUCAUUAUGUACAUGUGUAUAUAUUAAGAUAUAAAUGAAAAGUUUUUCUGGACUUUGGAGAGUGUUUGACAGUCUCUUUAAUCUGUGUCCAUGAAAAUACUGUUAUUUAGUGUUUUCCAUCCAUAAUUCUCGGCUUCUUUGAAGAAACAGGGGAGGUGCUAUUGUCAUAUUGCAGAAAGAGGUUAAAUACUCUGUGUCUUCUUGAAGCGUUUUGUAGCCAUAACUGAAUCUCUACGGUCAAAUGUUCUGCAUUUGGGAGAUUUGUUACAAUCCACUUUUUAUGUCUGUCAUGCUGUGUUCUUCCUAUAUUUCUCACCUACCCUUGACGUUCUGUGCACUUACAGGAUUUGAUCCCCUACAGAGCAGGCCCUGAGAACUAAAAAUUGCAAGGACAACAGUUCAUCUGGUAACACCGAGAAUGCUGCGUGAUCAAUGACUCUUUCUAUUUCGUGACAGAAUAAUUACUGAUGUAGAAAGCAAAUUUGGUAGCCAAGUCUCAUUUUCUGUGCCUCCUUGGUGCACCCGGGCUCCUCUCCUACUCCCUUCGGUGGAUAGAAGGUCGCGUGGAAGAUGUGACACAGGACAGCUGAGCGUGAAAGAGUGUUUGAUGUUCCUUUUGUCGAAGUGCUGUCUUCCCUUGCGUUUGUACUCCAUUACUGCCCAGGAAGCUGACAUACCUCCGCACUGCACCAUGCUGUGACUUGCAGCCUCAGCACUGAUAAUAAUAUGCAACUAAGCAGACAAUUUGUAUCCCUCAGCUUUUGUGGUAGCAAUCCUCAAUACUUAUGCAGGGGACAUCUGGCUGAAGAAUGGCUCGCAGGUAUGGACUGGCAGAAGUAAUGUUUGUAAUGCAAGGAAUAUAUCCAGAAUGCCACAUCGCUGUGAUGGGAGCAUGAGCUCAGCAGACGGCUUUCUUUUGUACUACAUGUCACUGUCCUGUGUGACCAACCUUUGGCAAGACACAGUGCUCUGAAUGCCUCUGCUCAGGUGCAUGUUUACCCGGAGGACUCCAAGGACUUUGUCUCCUUCCUCCCCCACGUUAGCCGUGCACGCUACAGCAUGCCUGCUGUGGCAUACAGUGGUGUCCGUCCACCUCUCAUCGCCAUCCUCUAGCUAUGAUGAGUCUUGCCAUGAUGCUUUUCCCUGUCCUUCUUGGUGCCUUUUAUAAAGAUGGAGGAAUGAAGCACUAUUGCAUGUAGGGGAAAUGAUGCAGCAGCCACUAUUUAUGUGGGGAAACUGGAAAAAGGAAAGCCGAAGUGAGUUGUGGGUGAUGAUGCAAAUCCUGGGCAAGAGUUAGGAGCAGACUUCUUUUUCCAGUCACCCCGUGUUUUGUCUUACCCUUGUUUCUUCGUACCUGAUUAUCUCUGUUCUGCAACAUGAAGGUGAUAGCACUGCAAACUGCUUUGACAUUUGCAGAGCACAAGCAGGGGAACACUUCAUUCGAUAACUCUUAGGCAGACGCCUGCUUAAGGAAAUUGGAGAAGGUGCCCGUAGGUGCAGAGCAGCUUGCAGAAGGGUUCUGGUGGAGUCCUUGCCACAGCAUGGGCCCUGGUUCUCUUCAGGAGUUUAACUUUCCUAUCAGCUUUGGGGUGCUAAGAGUUUGCUGUAAUUUCAGACCUCUACAGCCAGAAGUGUUACCGUGCCCCUUUCUCCACCAGCAACUGCCAGCUGAAAGCAGGCAGUGGUGGCAGCAGUGCAUGCUGUUUUGUUGAAAUACUAAAUUUUACACAAUACCAGCUUGAAGUCACCUUAAAAAUAAUUUUUUAACCAUAGAAAUAGUAUAAUAAUGCUUAUGCUAAAAUGUAAACAGUAGGAUGAUAGGCCAGAGUACCAGUUCCUAGCUGGUGGGGUAUGCUGCUACUCGGUGUGCAAUGUGAAAUGAAGCAUGGGCUGGCACCCUCUGCUUCCCCCGAGGAUGCAGCAGCAUGUGUUCAAGCUGCGGUGCAGAAGAGGCUGCGCCUGGCUGAGGAGGAAGAUGAAGUAUGCAUGUGGUUUGACAGUACAGCUAAUCGGACCUAGUGACUAGCUGUUGCCAAGGGGGGCGGCUGUGUUUUACAGCCCUGACUAGUCUCUUUCCCCACUCCGUCCCUGUGCUGCUACUGGUACGUGUUUGACCCUGCAGUGGCCUGAUUCAGGGAGCUGAGUGGCAGGAAAGUUUCCCUGCAUUUUGCAGGGCUAAUUUUCUGCUGAUCUUGCUUCCUGAACUGUCUCCUGAGACAUCAGACAGGUGUUGGUGCUAACACAAAACAGGGUGAUGGGAAGGCAUAGCAAGGGAGGGGGAGCAGAAAUACUCUUCUAUGCAGCAGCUGGCUGUUAGAUUGUGUUUUCUGUACCUUCUGACUGCAUCCUGAGUCCUCCUAACAGCAAAUGUUACAAAUGCCUACGUGGAAAUACGGGUGUGAGAUACAUACUGUAGUAGGAGAUAAUAAAAUCUGGUUUUGGUUUUCUUAGGAAAACCAGUUGGAAA